rnacentral:rRNA from 1 species
AGGAUGAACGCUGGCGGCGUGCCUAAUACAUGCAAGUCGAGCGGUAAGGCCCCCUUCGGGGGUACACGAGCGGCGGACGGCUGAGUAACACGUAGGAACGUACCCCAAACUGAGGGAUAAGCACCAGAAAUGGUGUCUAAUACCGCAUGUGAUCUUCGGAUUAAGCUCCGGCGUUUGGGAACGGCCUGCGCAUGAUUAGCUUGUUGGUGAGGUAAUGGCUCACCAAGGCGAUGAUCAUUAGCUGGUCUGAGAGGAUAGACCAGCCAAGACGUGGACUGACGAACCGGCCAGACUCCGUACGGGAGACAGCAGGUAGGUAACUUUCCACAGU